ensembl:lncRNA
GCUGUAAGGACUUGAGGAAUGGUCUCCUAACUGAGCUUCUGAGAAAGAUUCCCAGGGCUCCCAGAAAGACCUCGUCUUGGCCAAGGCAGUGGGGACGCAGGAGGCUGUCAACAGUAGCACAGAGCUGAAGAACACCUCGGGGCUCCCCUGGUGGCCUAGUGGUUAAGAAUCCUCCUGCCAAUGGAGAGAACACAGAUUCGAUCCCUGGUCCAGGAAGAUCCCACAAGGAGCAACUAAUCCCAUGUGCUGUAACUACUAAAGCUUAUGUGCCCUACAGCCUGUGCUCUGCAACAAGAAAAGCCACUGCAAUGAGAAGCCUGCACACCACAACAAAGAGUAGCCCCCACCCACCACAACUAGAGAAAGCCCGCAUCCAGCAAGGAAGACCCAGCACAGCCAAAAAUAAAGAAAUCUUAAAAAAAAAAAAAAGAACAGCUCAGUCAAUGAUCCCAAGAUCAGAGGGUCAAUCAGCCCCCCAUCUGCCUCUUCUGUCCCCACAGCUGGUGACUGGACUUAACAAUGUGCUGCUUGAACCCCAUCACCACCGCCCUGCUUGCCAGCAGGGAAACCAACAAGAGCAACCAGCUACUUGGUCUCUCCUCCACUUGGUUACAGAUCCUGCCCACAUCUCUGCAAUACCUUGGUAUGCCAGAACUUUCCAGUUUGAGCACUAAAAUUUCCACUGUCCACGAAACUCCUCAUCAGCAAACCGGGAUGGUCACGCCAGCAUCCCAUCCUCAGAUGGUGAGCGUCCACCACUCACAGAUUUAGAGUAGAAGUCGUGCUGAAUGGAUGGGAAAAAUCAUCCCACACUCUUGUGGUUUUCAACAUCAGCUGGCCCCUUACUGCUGCUUGGCAUGCUAUUUCAGGACUGCGGUCAGUUCCUUUCAAAAGCCCCUUCACCCCUUCCACCCUCACAGCUUUCUUCUAUCCAAACACCACACUGGAGCCACUUCUCAUCGACUGACCUUGCAGUUGAUUGAGUGAUCUCUUGCAACCUUCCACCUUCCCCUCCUGUCCCACACCUUCCUGGGCCAUCCACUCCCCAUUUGCCCUCUUGUCUCCACCCUUUCAUCAACCUCUCUCUACCUUCAGGGACUCCUCCUCCUUCAGCUUGUAAACAUGUUCAUUCUCUUCCAUCUUAAAAAUAAAGAAAACCAAAAAACCCGUUCCACCUGAGAUCCCCUGGACUUAACCAGUCUUUCGCUCUUUCUCCUUUCAUGUGAAGCUGGGAUUUCAGAAAGGGAGAGACUGCAACACGUGCUUCAGGUCCUUCAGUGUCUCAAUUAACUCAAGAUGCCUCCACAGGUGUCCCCUCCACCCCACACCCUUUACACAGUGAGACUCAGUGCCAUACUGGAACCUGAAACAAAGGAAACUUCAUUAAUGUGGAUACUGUCUUUAGUGAGAAUUCUGAUAUUUUCUUCAUCAUGGAUUUUUAG